CAGGCCUAACACAUGCAAGUCGAACGGGCACCUUCGGGUGUCAGUGGCAGACGGGUGAGUAACACGUGGGAACGUGCCCUUCGGUUCGGAAUAACUCAGGGAAACUUGAGCUAAUACCGGAUACGCCCUUACGGGGAAAGGUUUACUGCCGAAGGAUCGGCCCGCGUCUGAUUAGCUAGUUGGCGAGGUAAUGGCUCACCAAGGCGACGAUCAGUAGCUGGUCUGAGAGGAUGAUCAGCCACACUGGGACUGAGACACGGCCCAGACUCCUACGGGAGGCAGCAGUGGGGAAUAUUGGACAAUGGGCGAAAGCCUGAUCCAGCCAUGCCGCGUGAGUGAUGAAGGCCUUAGGGUUGUAAAGCUCUUUUGUCCGGGAAGAUAAUGACUGUACCGGAAGAAUAAGCCCCGGCUAACUUCGUGCCAGCAGCCGCGGUAAU
rnacentral:rRNA from 1 species